AAAAAAAAGAAAACAGAGAGAUGCAGAGGAAAAUGGAGAGUCAGACAGAGAAGGUGAAAGAGAUGUAGAAACGAGGAUAUUGAUUGGUUAAAAAUGCAUGAGGUGUCUGGUAGGCAGCACCCCAUUGCUAAUGCCCUGUGACCAGACAGUCUGAAGCACAAGCAUCAUCUCCCUGAAUAACUGUACAUGUUUUUAUAACAUGCUGUCAGUCGGUGAGUCAGUCGGGCACUCGGAAACACAGUGAGUAAUGCAUUGUGUAACUUAGUUAGUUAGUCAGGAGAUAAAUUAUUCAUACCAUAUCAUAUUUCAUGUGAAAAAUGAGUCUGCUCCCUGUUGUUUUAAAGCCUAUUUUGUAUUUCUCUCAGCUUUGGCUAUUAAUGUCACAGUUACCCAGUUUUAUUGGCUUUUGUCGAUCUGUCUCUGUCUCUCUCUCUUAUAUGACUUUAAGGCUUUUACUUUCCUGUCAAGUGUUUUAUAACGUAGUUUAAGCAAGAUUAAGAGUCUACAGCCAUGCUAGCUGCUGACAUUAAUUGGCGGAAGAAUGAUUAUUUGUUAUCAUUAAAUUAUUGCUUUUUUUGCGUUUAUUUUAUGAAACCAUGCCCGGUAUAUGUAACUGUUUUAUAAAAGCAAUCAGCAACUGAAGGCUGUGAUUAAUGGGGUUUAUUAAUUGCUUAAGUCUAACAUAAUAAAAAUAUCAGAAAAUAACAUAAUAAUGUUAACUGACCUGAUAGUUAUUUCCUCUGGAUAAUAGUCAGUCAGUCAGAUUGCAUUUCAUAUUAAUCCCUGAGCUCUAAUUGUUCUUCCUGACACUGUGACUUUAAUUUCCACUUCCUCCCUGCUCUCUGCUGUCUUUCCAUCUGUCUGGCCUGCCUUUGCCAAUUCUGUGUUUGCGAGUGUGUCUGUGUGUGUGUGUGUGUGUGUGUGUGUGUGUGUGUGUGUGUGUACUGUAUACUCUCCAGUACAUUUCCAGGUCUGUGAACUUGCAUCAAGACAGCGUGGUUUGGCGAGCAGCGACCAGCGAGUGCCAAUGUGACAGAGAGAACCGCAUGACCGGCAGAUCAGAGUCAAGAUGAGAGCAAUAUCACUUCCUAACAAAGCCAACAUUACUGCAGAGGGCACACGGGCCACUCAGACUCGGUGCCCUCGCAGUCCUCUGGUAGCUGCAGCCCUGGGGCAGCAUCGCUAACACAGAGCAUGAGUCUGGACCCAAAAAACAUGUCUGGUUGAAAGCCACGCAGAAUUUGUAUUCAUUUAUUGAAAUUUUUUUGCAGCCUGUGGUGGAAGAAGUGUUCAGAUUUUUACUUAUUAAGGAAUACUUCACCAACAAAAUGACCUGUUGUACAACAAUUAUUCACCCCGUGGUACCUUGAAUUCUUGAUAAAAGAAAAACGUUUUUCUUGCCUCCACGAUGAACAAAAAAAUAAAAAUAAAUGAGAUGAAUUUAAGUAAA